rnacentral:rRNA from 1 species
AUUGAACGCUGGCGGCAGGCCUAACACAUGCAAGUCGAACGGUAACAGGAAGAAGCUUGCUUCUUUGCUGACGAGUGGCGGACGGGUGAGUAAUGUCUGGGAAACUGCCUGAUGGAGGGGGAUAACUACUGGAAACGGUAGCUAAUACCGCAUAACGUCGCAAGACCAAAAGAGGGGGACCUUCGGGCCUCUUGCCAUCGGAUGUGCCCAGAUGGGAUUAGCUAGUAGGUGGGGUAACGGCUCACCUAGGCGACGAUCCCUAGCUGGUCUGAGAGGAUGACCAGCCACACUGGAACUGAGACACGGUCCAGACUCCUACGGGAGGCAGCAGUGGGGAAUAUUGCACAAUGGGCGCAAGCCUGAUGCAGCCAUGCCGCGUGUAUGAAGAAGGCCU